ACAUGACCUGUCACUCGCUGAUUCUCCUUGCAGCAAGUAAACUGGAAACAUGAGUCCUGUUAUCUUUGUUCACUGGGUUCUGGUUAUUGAACCGAGCUGGGGUUUACUCUUACAAAGUAAUAUAUAGAUACCUCACAUUAAUUGGUCCUUCGAGCCGGAUUCCAAUACAUCGUGACGGGAAGGAGGAGGGAAAAGACACGCCGCAAGUCUGUCGACAGCCGGGAUCAUCAGCCGACCCCGAGAAAGACCCGGGACGCAGAAUUCGUGGCCGGGCCGGUGCUUAUAUGUCCAACCUCCCUCAUCCUCGGCACGAUUGACGGAAUCCAACCGGACCAGUGACCACAGAUAACGGGUAAGAUAAAAGUUGAUAUACAUGGUUUCUCCACCAUUUAAGGAGGUAGAGAAAGGCUUCUCCGCCAUUUAAGGAGGAUUGACGUGUCUUUGGGUACACUUAUGAGAAAGGUUUCUCCGCCGUUAAGGAGGUUGAUAAAACGUUGAUUGAGAAAGGUUUCUCCGCCGUUAAGGAGGUUGAUAAAACGUUGAUAGAGAAAGGCUACUCCGCCGUUAAGGAGGUUGAUAAAACGUUGAUAGAGAAAGGCUACUCCGCCUAGGAGGAGGAUCGACGUGCCUUUGGGUACACUUAUGAGUGAAAGCAGUGUGUAAAAGUGUCACCAAGUGGAAUCAGCGCACAGAGUGGAAACCUAACGGUGAUAACAAAAACUCUGUGGUCUGUUGAAGUACACUAGUGGUGAAUUAGGAAUUAGGUUCUGACCGGCACGUUGUCCAGUAGGAACA